UUUCAAACACCAAGGAACUCACCAGACAGGUCAGACAGGACACCUACACUGAAACAAUGGGAAAUGGAGGGUUGUUGAACUUAUAAAAAUACAUUUCAUAUAUUCUACAAAAUUUAUUUGUAUUUCUCAUCUGAACAUGUUCAAAUCAUGUAAAGUGUAUUAAAGAUUGAACUAUUUAAAUUCCACAAUUCUUAGUCAUGUUAACAAAAAGAAAAUAGUUAUGUUUUAUUAGUCUGUAGUUGGAAACUCCACCUCUUGGGGGCACUCUACUGGACAGAGAACGGCUGUGCUGCUGUGGAAUCUUUACCUUCCUUCCUGAAUCUCUGCUGAGAAGAUUUUGCCACAAUUUGAAUGGUGAAGGCCAGUGAUUGACCUCUUCUCUGAUGAAAAUAUUGUCUUCUUAAAGAAUGACAAGAAUAUAUGUUGUCUGUUAUGCACAGCUUAAAUUUAUACAGUCUUAUCCAACAGCCCUGCAGAGAAAAAGCCAAAUCUUCAGAUUUGCAACCAGCAACCAGCACCCACAUCUACGCAAUAUUUGCUGCUCAUCUACAAGAACUAUAAGCUCUCUGCUGUGAUUAUGCACAUGUACCUAUAUGUUACAGUAUGUUACAUAUCUCUGCACCCUAUUCUCACUACUCACAUUUCAUUGUACCAUAUCGGUACUGCACUGUUCUGUCUGUUAAAUUGUCUUUUGUAUUUUUUGUAUUUAUUGUAGUGUUAUAGUUUUUAUGUUGCACAUUCGAUACACGUUUGCACUUUGUUAUCUACUGUAAUUGUUGUUCCAUGUUGCACCAUGAUUCUGGAGGAACGUAAUUUUGUUACACUGUGUACCUGUACUCAGAUGUAAUGACAAUAAAAGCCUCUUGACUUGACUUAAAAAAU
rnacentral:lncRNA from 1 species